ACAACAUAAACUGAGGACACAAAACAAAACAACGACCUGAAGGCUCUGGAGAGUUAGCCAAAGCAGGCAUAUUUAGGAGGAGAGUUGAAAGUUGGAUGAAGGACUUGGUCCAGGCUCCAAAUUCACCCUUUUGGCCUGCUCUGUAAAAAUGAAUGGGGGUAUGGCAGGGAGCAGUGGCUCAAGCCUGUAAUCCCAGCACUUCAGGAGGCCAAGGUGAGUGGAUCACGAGGUCAGGAGUUCAAGACCAGCCUAGCCAACAUGAUGAAACCCCAUCUCUACUAAAGAUCCAAAAAGUAGCCGGGCAUGGUGGCGUGCGCCUGUAAUCUCAGCUACUCAGGAGGAUGAGGCAGGAGAAUCGCUUGAAGCUGGGAGGCAGAGAUUGCAGUGAGCCGAGAUCACACCAUUGCACUCCAGCCUGGGUGGCAGGGCGAGACUCCGUCUCAAAAAAAAAAAAAAAGAAAAAGAAAAAGAAAUGAAUGGGGAUGCUUUGAGUAGUUUUCCUUUGCCAGUAGGCACUGAAGCUUUAUCAGAAGAGAGCACUGCAGAGACAUUACAGGAGGAAGGUCUUUUGUUUCCUGGUUCUGAUGUGCUCCGGCAUUUUGCAAGGCUUCUCCAGUGCCUGGCUCCUGCAGUGCAUGGUGGCAAGCAGUGCCCAGAGCUCAGCAGUUUCCAUGGCAUUCCCCUUCUUGGAUGGUUUUGUAGCAAAAGGUGAGGCAUCUUCUCAUGAAUAGUUUUCUCUGACACAUUACAGGGCAGACUUCCAGCAAGUCCUGAGGGUGUGGCAUCACAGUUUCUUUUC
rnacentral:lncRNA from 10 species